rnacentral:rRNA from 1 species
UGCGGUUAUACAAACGAUACAAUUAAAUUAUUUUAGUUUUAAUUAAUUGAUAAUUAGAAAUUUUAUAGUUAAGUUUAAUGAGUGAAAUUUUAAAUUUUAAAAAGAUUAAUAUUUGUUAAUGAUUUAAUAAAUUUUAAAUAUAAACUAGGAUUAGAUACCCUAUUAUUUGAAAUGUAAUUUUAAAAGCUAAAUUAGUAUUUGUUAUGUUCUUGAAAAUUAAAGAUUUUGGCGGUAUUUUAGUCUAUUCAGAGGAACCUGUUCUGUAAUUGAUAGUCCACGAUUAAAUUUACUUUUUUUAUAUAAAUUUAUAUAUCGUCGUAGUUUGAAUAUUUUAUAAGAAUUUGAAUAUUUAAGAUUUAUAAUAAUAAAGAAAAUCAGAUCAAGGUGUAGUUUAUAAAAAAGAAGAAAUGGGUUACUUUAAUUUUAAUUUGCGAUAAUUAUUAUUAUAAUAGUUUGAAUUAGGAUUUGAAAGUAAUUUUAAUUAUUUAAUUAAAAUGAUUUUAGCUCUAAAAUAU